CCUACGGGAGGCAGCAGUGGGGAAUAUUGGACAAUGGGGGCAACCCUGAUCCAGCAAUUCUGUGUGCACGAAGAAGGUUUUCGGAUCGUAAAGUGCUUUCAGCAGGGAGGAAGGAAGUGACUGUACCUGCAGAAGAAGCGACGGCUAAAUACGUGCCAGCAGCCGCGGUAAUACGUAUGUCGCGAGCGUUAUCCGGAAUUAUUGGGCAUAAAGGGCAUCUAGGCGGCCGGGUAAGUCCGGGGUGAAAACUGCUGGCUCAACCAGCAGCCUGCCUUGGAAACUACCCGGCUUGAGUGCUGGAGAGGUGGACGGAACUGCACGAGUAGAGGUGAAAUUCGUAGAUAUGUGCAGGAAUGCCGAUGAUGAAGAUAGUUCACUGGACGGCAACUGACGCUGAAGUGCGAAAGCUAGGGGAGCGAACAGGAUUAGAUACCCCAGUAGUC
rnacentral:rRNA from 1 species